rnacentral:rRNA from 1 species
CUUUUUGUGGUUUUGGAUGAACUCGCGGCCUAUCAGCUUGUUGGUGGGGUAAUGGCCUACCAAGGCGACGACGGGUAGCCGGCCUGAGAGGGUGACCGGCCACACUGGGACUGAGACACGGCCCAGACUCCUACGGGAGGCAGCAGUGGGGAAUAUUGCACAAUGGGCGAAAGCCUGAUGCAGCGACGCCGCGUGAGGGAUGACGGCCUUCGGGUUGUAAACCUCUUUCAGUAGGGAAGAAGCCCUUCGGGGUGACGGUACUUGCAGAAGAAGCGCCGGCUAACUACGUGCCAGCAGCCGCGGUAAUACGUAGGGCGCAAGCGUUAUCCGGAAUUAUUGGGCGUAAAGAGCUCGUAGGCGGUUUGUCGCGUCUGCUGUGAAAGACCGGGGCUCAACUCCGGUUCUGCAGUGGGUACGGGCAGACUAGAGUGCAGUAGGGGAGACUGGAAUUCCUGGUGUAGCGGUGAAAUGCGCAGAUAUCAGGAGGAACACCGAUGGCGAAGGCAGGUCUCUGGGCUGUAACUGACGCUGAGGAGCGAAAGCAUGGGGAGCGAACAGGAUUAGAUACCCUGGUAGUCCAUGCCGUAAACGUUGGGCACUAGGUGUGGGGGACAUUCCACGUUUUCCGCGCCGUAGCUU